rnacentral:misc_RNA from 1 species
AGAUAAUGAGUUUGUCCCCACUAGAGUUCAAAAUGUGUGGAAAGUGUGCAUUGACUAUCGCAAGCUUAAUGUUGCUACUAGGAAGGAUCACUUUCCACUGUAAUUCAUGGACCAAAUGUGUGAAAGGUUAGAUGGUCAUACUUUUUAUUGCUUUCUUGAUGGUUAUUCUGGUUAUAAUCAAAUUGUCAUAGCACUUGAAGACCAAGAGAAAAUGACUUUU